rnacentral:lncRNA from 1 species
GGGCUGGAGAGAUGGCUCAGCGGUUAAGAGCACUGACUGCUGCUCUUCAUAGAGGUCCUGAGUUCAAUUCCCAGCAACCACAUGGUGGCUCACAACCAUCUGUAAUGGGAUCUGAUGCCCUCUUCUGGUGUGUCUGAAGACAACUACAGUGUACUCACAUAUAUAAGAUAAAUAAAUCUUAAGAAGAAAAAAAAAGAGUCCCUGAUGAUGACCUGGCAGGUGACGAUGCCUGCUCUGUCGCCAAGGCUGACACCCUGAAGUUGAACCGCAGAAUCCACACUUUGAACAGGAAGUCUGACUCCUGAAUCUUGUCCUCCCGCCUCUGUAGAUAUGCUGUGACCUCUCCCCCACUGACUACGUGUACUAAUGUAAUUUAGGCAUUGUUAUUAUUUAAAAAUGAAACAAGUGAGACCCAGCUAAUACCCUAGAUCUCUAAAAUGCCCUUACAAUGUGUAAUGUUACUGGAGGAGACGGGUCUGGGCCCCGGCAGCCUUGUCCUCCGUGUGUCUAAAAAGACAGUGAAAGCUUGAGAGAGGAAACUGAGUGUGGUCACACUGGGAAGAGGAACAAAUCCAGAGGCUUAGUGAGCUCUUCCGGGUCACUGACAAGGCUUAGGUCUAAAUAGAAGGCAAGAGGUCAAGGUAUUAAUGUAUCCUUAGCUCAGCUCCUGGCCUGUCUCCAAGUUGUCAGAACCCUGUGACCUUCCUACAUGGCAAGUUCCUUCUUCUGCUGGUACCAGGGCUCAGCUUUUCCCUUCUUCCAGUGGGGAAUUCCAAUUUCUUGGGGUACAUUGUUUUCAUAGCCUGAUAGUCAGAGGGAGGCACGCGGUGGUAAUAAUACUUUCAUCCCUUCUGCUUAUCUUGCAGUGUAGGGGCUAGAGAAAUGAACUUCUUUUUAAUCUUCCAUGGCAUCUGAAGGAUUACCUGCCACUGCUGUGCUAGACUGUGGUAUUUAAAACUCAAUGACAGAAGUCAGUGGUCCUGGGAGAGAGAUAAGGUUAUCUGUCCCAGUAGCCUGAUUCCCUUGAUGGAGAGCAAGGAAAGAUACCAGCUUCCUUCAUCACGUGACAGGGCUAGGUAUUGAAUGUGACUCAUAGGGAUGGAGACCCCAUAGUUCGGGACCACCUGAUCUUCUGGAGUCACCAUUCCAGCAUUUGAUGAUGUAUUUGACGACUUGACUUAGAAUUCACAAACGCAUAGCUGCCUUCCACCUGACUCCCUGUCUUCCUAGGCACUCAGUCCCAGAACAGCACGGCCUUGGUCCACGGCAUCCUGGAAGGGAUCCGGGUCCCCUUCCCUAUUCCUGAGCCUGACGGUUGUAAGAGUGGAAUCAACUGCCCCAUCCAGAAAGACAAGGUCUACAGCUACCUGAAUAAGCUUCCGGUGAAGAAUGAAUACCCCUCUGUAAGUGACACCGUGGCUGAGGGCACCAGGCCCGCCCCGGGGCUGGGAGUGAGAUGCAGAGACUGGGGCAAAGAGCUGGUGGUGGAGCUGGGAAGGCCUAAGGGAGAGGAGAUGAGUUGAGGGACCCAAGGGUGCCAUUUUUAUAGCCCUAGCCCUCACCGCCUCCCUGUGUAGUGGCGAUAUUAUUUCUGACUUACAAGCGAAGAAUUUUAAGCUUCUGGUAUUACAUAAUACAGAGUCCAAGUCCACUCUACCAAGAAGUCUUAGCACCUAGAUUUAGAGGUAAGACUCCUAAGUCCAAAGCCUGUGCAGCGAUUUUAGCCAGGUAACAAAUAGUUAAAGGUAGAAACUGCCUUGGCAGCAUCUUCAGGAUCCUGGUUUCUCCUCCAUAUUCUUAAGGAGAGAGCAGGACCACUUAGCAGCAGCACUUGGGUGUCUCAGUGGAGCUGGGCGCCCCUCCAAGCCGACUUUACAUACUCGCUAGCCACAGGUGCUGGAGUGGUGUCCCCUAGGUAGGGAUUGUGAUAAAAAUAAAGGACAUAAAGCAAGUGCUCCCCCCCCCCAUUAAAAAAGGGGGUUACUUCAUUGUUUUGUUCUAGAAUUGUUUGUGUUCAGAAAAAAAUCUCACUUGGUAGCCCAGGUUGGCUGGCUUUGAACUCCAGGCAGUCCUCCUGCCUCAACCUCGAAAAUUCUGGAAUUACAGACAUAUGUCAUUAAUCUUCACAGGUGUUACUUUUUUUUUUUUUUUUAAGGAAGCCAAGUAGAACCCAGAUGUAAUUUGUUUCUAGAAAGAGAAGUAGAAGACUAAAAUAUCAGUAGUCUUUAAGACAGUGGUUCUCAACCCCUUUGGGGCCUAAACGACCCUUUAACGAGGGUCACCUAAGAAACACAGAUAUUAACAUUAUGAUUCUUGACAGCAGCAAAAUUACAGUUAUGAAGUAGCAACGAAAAUAAAUUUUUGGUUGGGGUCACCACAACAUGAGGAACUGUGUUAAAGGGUCACAGCAUCAGGAAGGUUGGGAACCUCUAGUUUAAGGGUUGUUGGAGACCCUAAAGAUUUAUAGGUGGCAGCGUCAGUAUGCAGAGAUCUGUCAGAGCCUGAUUCACGGUAGGUACUUUGUAUUUAGUUUGAAAAGUUUAAACUGUUAGUUUAAAAAAACAGUAACGCCGGGUGUGGUGGCACACAAGUCUUGCAAUCAAAGCCAGGUUUUCAAGAAUGUAGAUGUUAUUGUCCCUCAAGUGUUACAUUGUGAAGACAGUUUGAGGGACAAAGGUGUCUGUAACUAAUGAUGGGCAGCCCCUUCCCUGAGUGCUCAGGUUAGAGAGGAACCAUGAAUAAAGAGCUACUUGAUUAGAAUUAGAAGUGGGGGCUGGAGAGAUGGUUCAGUGGUUAGGAGCACUUGAUGCUCUUCUAGGGGACCAGUUAGUUCCCAGAUGCCUAUGGCCCCUCACAGCUCUCUAUAACUCCAGUUCUAGGGGCUUCAAUGCCCUCUACUGGUCUACUAGGACACUGCGUGCACAUGGUGCUCUUAUAUACUUUCUGACAAAACACUCAUACUCACAACUGGUCCUAGUGGCUCAUUACAUCUUUAAAACAACAAACAAACAAACAACCCUGUUGAUGAACACCUUUAAUCCCAGCUCUCAGCAGGCGGAUCUCUGAGUUCAGUGCUAGCCAGCAAUACAUAGUGAGAUUGUCU